UAGGGAAUAUUGCACAAUGGGCGAAAGCCUGAUGCAGCAACGCCGCGUGCGCGAAGAAGGCCUUCGGGUCGUAAAGCGCUUUUCUGAGAGAUGAGAAAGGACAGUAUCUCAGGAAUAAGUCUCGGCUAACUACGUGCCAGCAGCCGCGGUAAAACGUAGGAGGCGAGCGUUAUCCGGAUUCACUGGGCGUAAAGCGCGUGCAGGCGGUUCGGUAAGUUGGGCGUGAAAUCUCUCGGCUUAACUGGGAGAGGUCGUUCAAUACUACCGGGCUAGAGAGUGGUAGAGGAAGAUGGAAUUCCCGGUGUAGUGGUGAAAUGCGUAGAUAUCGGGAGGAACACCAGUGGCGAAAGCGAUCUUCUGGACCAUUUCUGACGCUCAGACGCGAAAGCUAGGGUAGUAAACGGGAUUAGAGACCCCGGUAAUCCUAGCCAUAAACGAUGUAAACUUGGCGUUGGUGGCUUAAACUCCAUCNGUGCCGCAGCAAACGCGAUAAGUUUACCGCCUGGGGACUACGAUCGCUAGAUUA
rnacentral:rRNA from 1 species